CCUCCUUCAAUAUGCGGCUUGACUGUGAUUCGUGGCACAAAACUGAAAUAACCCUGCCAGGUCUUAGAAGCUUUAAGAUUCAUCGUUUUGAACUUGAUACACAUAGUACAGUACCUUAAAAACGAAUCAUCUGCUAGUUCAGUAUUUUCUACUUACAAUCACUCCCUCCCAGGGCAUGUAAUUAAUUUACUGAGCUUAAAAAAAAAAAAAAAAAAAAAAAAAAAAACAGGAUUACUCACACAGUCUUGAAGAUGCAAUGUCAUCUAUUUAGGACAGAAACAUCCAAGGCCGUGUCAGAACUCAAUUACGACUACAUAUGCAUUAAGGCAGGAACUGGCAGGCCUCUGGAUACGCCAACUAUAGGACUCGUGCUUCUCGUACGCUGGGCUAUAAUCUAUGAAACUGAGCUCCAGAGCCAGCCAAUCACUUAGCUCCUCAUAACAAGUCUAACUGGCUCUGGAAAGCUGAAAGGGCUGCACUGGAACAACACAGAAGAGAUAUUCUACACAUUAAUCUACUUAUCUGGAAUCACUUUGACUCUAAAGGGCAGAGAAAAAUCACAGCUUCCUUGUUGGAGGGGAAAAGGACAGGUGAUCUGGGGAAAACGCAGCUACACCUGGAGCAAGGUCUCUUCCCGGCUUUGCAAUCCCAACUGUGCCCGCGCUUCAGGACCCGAGUCGUCCCAGAAACCAAAGGGCAGGCACGGCAGCAAAUGCCUGAGUGCUGCUGCCUUUGGUGACUAUGUGAGAAUGGAAACUUCUAAGGAAGCCAGGUUGUUAGAAUUGUUACCCCCUUUACUCGAAGAUAACAUAGAUUAUCCAGACUGAGAUGGAAAACAAGCCCUUUAUUGAAUUUUCAACACAGACUCCCUGCUUCUCAUCUCCUUAAUAAAAUUUCAUUAAACCCCCCUAGAAUUCCCAUGUUCAAAUCUCCAUUUGUUGACAGACAAGGCCAAGAAUACUCUAAACUGAGGCAUGCAAGUCAUUUCAUUUGUAUUCUUGUCCAAAAAUUUCCCAUAGGAAGACUUCACCUCCUACAAUUCUGAAGAAAACUCUUACUGUCCAAGACAAUCGCCAGCAACCAUCCACAGUCAUCUGAGUGGAAACUUUCACAGCUUUUGUACAUUCUCUGUGUCAACAUACAACUGAGUUACAGACUGUCCCCUGGCUCCCUGACCCUUACAAACACUAAAAGUUUUGUUUGACUCAA